rnacentral:rRNA from 1 species
AUUGAACGCUGGCGGCAUGCUUUACACAUGCAAGUCGAACGGUAACAGGCCGCAAGGUGCUGACGAGUGGCGAACGGGUGAGUAAUGCAUCGGAACGUGCCCAGUCGUGGGGGAUAACUACUCGAAAGAGUAGCUAAUACCGCAUACGAUCUAUGGAUGAAAGCGGGGGACCGUAAGGCCUCGCGCGAUUGGAGCGGCCGAUGUCAGAUUAGGUAGUUGGUGGGGUAAAGGCUCACCAAGCCAACGAUCUGUAGCUGGUCUGAGAGGACGACCAGCCACACUGGGACUGAGACACGGCCCAGACUCCUACGGGAGGCAGCAGUGGGGAAUUUUGGACAAUGGGCCCAAGCCUGAUCCAGCAAUGCCGCGUGCAGGAAGAAGGCCUUCGGGUUGUAAACUGCUUUUGUACGGAACGAAACGGCUCUGGUUAAUACCCGGGGCUAAUGACGGUACCGUAAGAAUAAGCACCGGCUAACUACGUG